AGUGAACGCUGGCGGUAGGCCUAACACAUGCCAGUCGAACGGCAGCACAGUAAGAGCUUGCUCUUACGGGUGGCGAGUGGCGGACGGGUGAGGAAUACAUCGGAAUCUACUUUUUCGUGGGGGAUAACGUAGGGAAACUUACGCUAAUACCGCAUACGACCUACGGGUGAAAGCAGGGGAUCUUCGGACCUUGCGCGAUUGAAUGAGCCGAUGUCGGAUUAGCUAGUUGGCGGGGUAAAGGCCCACCAAGGCGACGAUCCGUAGCUGGUCUGAGAGGAUGAUCAGCCACACUGGAACUGAGACACGGUCCAGACUCCUACGGGAGGCAGCAGUGGGGAAUAGUGGACAAUGGGCGCAAGCCUGAUCCAGCCAUACCGCGUGGGUGAAGAAGGCCUUCGGGUUGUAAAGCCCUUUUGUUGGGAAAGAAAAGCAGCAGGUUAAUACCCAGCUGUUCUGACGGUACCCAAAGAAUAAGCACCGGCUAACUUCGUG
rnacentral:rRNA from 1 species